rnacentral:rRNA from 1 species
UACGUAGGGUGCGAGCGUUAAUCGGAAUACUGGGCGUAAAGCGUGCGCAGGCGGUUUUGUAAGCCAGAUGUGAAAUCCCCGGGCUUAACCUGGGAAUGGCAUUUGGGACUGCAAGGCUAGAGUGCGGCAGAGGAGACUGGAAUUCCCGGUGUAGCAGUGAAAUGCGUAGAUAUCGGGAGGAACACCAGUGGCGAAGGCGGCGAUCUGGGUCGAUACUGACGCUGAGGUGCGAAAGCGUGGGGAGCAAACAGG